AGAGUUUGAUCAUGGCUCAGGAUGAACGCUGGCGGCGUGCAUAACACAUUCAAGUCGAACGGUGAAGUACCUUCGGGUACGGAACAGUGGCGGACGGGUGAGUAACGCGUGAGCAACCUGCCGUAUAGUGGGGGAUAACACAGGGAAACUUGUGCUAAUACCGCAUAACACACGGGGACCGCAUGAUUCUCGUGUCAAAGAGAAAUUGCUGUACGAUGGGCUCGCGUAUGAUUAGACAGUUGGCAGGGUAACGGCCUACCAAAUCAACGAUCAUUAGCCGAACUGAGAGGUUGAACGGCCACAUUGGAACUGAGAAACGGUCCAGACUCCUACGGGAGGCAGCAGUGGGGAAUAUUGGGCAAUGGGCGAGAGCCUGACCCAGCGACGCCGCGUGAGGGAAGAAGGUCUUCGGAUUGUAAACCUCUUUCAGCAGGGAAGAAGGAAGUGACGGUACCUGCAGAAGAAGUCACGGCUAACUACGUGCCAGCAGCCGCGGUAAUACGUAGGUGGCGAGCGUUAUCCGGAAUUACUGGGUGUAAAGGGUGUGUAGGCGGGAUUGCAAGUCAGGCGUGAAAUCAUAAGGCUCAACCUUGUGACUGCGCUUGAAACUGUAAUUCUUGAGAGUGGGAGAGGUAAACGGAAUUCCUGGUGUAGUAGUGAAAUGCGUAGAUAUCAGGAGGAACACCGGUGGCGAAGGCGGUUUACUGGACCACAACUGACGCUGAGACACGAAAGCGUGGGGAGCAAACAGGAUUAGAUACCCUGGCAGUCCACGCCGUAAACGAUGAAUACUACGUGUAGGGUCCGUAGGGAUUCUGUGCCGCAGUUAACACAAUAAGUAUUCCACCUGGGGAGUACGGCCGCAAGGUUGAAACUCAAAGGAAUUGACGGGAGCCCGCACAAGCAGUGGAGUACGUGGUUUAAUUCGACGCAACGCGAAGAACCUUACCGGAGCUUGA
rnacentral:rRNA from 1 species